UACGUAGGGUGCAAGCGUUGUCCGGAAUUAUUGGGCGUAAAGGGCUCGUAGGCGGCCUGUCGCGUCGGGAGUGAAAGCCCACUGCUUAACGGUGGGUCUGCUUUCGGUACGGGCGGGCUAGAGUUCGGUAGGGGAGACUGGAAUUCCUGGUGUAGCGGUGAAAUGCGCAGAUAUCAGGAGGAACACCGGUGGCGAAGGCGGGUCUCUGGGCCGAUACUGACGCUGAGGAGCGAAAGCGUGGGGAGCGAACAGG
rnacentral:rRNA from 1 species